rnacentral:rRNA from 1 species
AGAGUUUGAUCCUGGCUCAGGACGAACGCUGGCGGCGUGCCUAACACAUGCAAGUCGAACGAGAAUCUUUGAACAGAUCUUUUCGGAGUGACGUUCAAAGAGGAAAGUGGCGGACGGGCGAGUAACGCGUGAGUAACCUGCCCAUAAGAGGGGGAUAAUCCAUGGAAACGUGGACUAAUACCGCAUAUUGUAGUUAAGUUGCAUGACUUGAUUAUGAAAGAUUUAUCGCUUAUGGAUGGACUCGCGUCAGAUUAGAUAGUUGGUGAGGUAACGGCUCACCAAGUCAACGAUCUGUAGCCGAACUGAGAGGUUGAUCGGCCGCAUUGGGACUGAGACACGGCCCAGACUCCUACGGGAGGCAGCAGUGGGGAAUAUUGCGCAAUGGGGGCAACCCUGACGCAGCAACGCCGCGUGCAGGAAGAAGGUCUUCGGAUUGUAAACUGUUGUCGCAAGGGAAGAAGACAGUGACGGUACCUUGUGAGAAAGUCACGGCUAACUACGUGCCAGCAGCCGCGGUAAUACGUAGGUGACAAGCGUUGUCCGGAUUUACUGGGUGUAAAGGGCGCGUAGGCGGACUGUCAAGUCAGUCGUGAAAUACCGGGGCUUAACCCCGGGGCUGCGAUUGAAACUGACAGCCUUGAGUAUCGGAGAGGAAAGCGGAAUUCCUAGUGUAGCGGUGAAAUGCGUAGAUAUUAGGAGGAACACCAGUGGCGAAGGCGGCUUUCUGGACGACAACUGACGCUGAGGCGCGAAAGUGUGGGGAGCAAACAGGAUUAGAUACCCUGGUAGUCCACACCGUAAACGAUGGAUACUAGGUGUAGGAGGUAUCGACCCCUUCUGUGCCGCAGUUAACACAAUAAGUAUCCCACCUGGGGAGUACGACCGCAAGGUUGAAACUCAAAGGAAUUGACGGGGGCCCGCACAAGCAGUGGAGUAUGUGGUUUAAUUCGAAGCAACGCGAAGAACCUUACCUGGGCUUGACAUCCCUGGAAUCGAGUAGAGAUACUUGAGUGCCUUCGGGAAUCAGGUGACAGGUGGUGCAUGGUUGUCGUCAGCUCGUGUCGUGAGAUGUUGGGUUAAGUC